GCACUCCUAGGGCGUCCCAUCUCGUUACGAGAGGAGGCGCACCUAGAGCGUACACGCUGAUACCCGAAAGAUGGUGAACUAUGCCUGGCCAGGAUGAAGCCAGGGGAAACCCUGGUGGAGGUCCGCAGCGAUUCUGACGUGCAAAUCGAUCGUCGGAGCUGGGUUUAGGGGCGAAAGACCAAUCGAACCAUCUAGUAGCUGGUUCCCUCUGAAGUUUCCCUCAGGAUAGCUUGCGCUCGGGAUGACGAGUCUCAUCCGGUAGAGCGAAUGAUUAGAGGCCUUGGGGUCGAAACGACCUCAACCUAUUCUCAAACUCCAAAUAGAUGAGAACCCCGGCUUUCUUGAAACAAUCUCUUGUGAAGCCGGGGGCUCGGAUCAGAGUGCAAAGUGGGCCAAUUUUGGUAAGCAGAACUGGCGCUGUGGGAUGAACCAAACGCGGAGUUAAGGCGCCUCAAUCGACGCUCAUCCGACACCAUGAAAGGCGUUGGUUGCUUAAGACAGCAG
rnacentral:rRNA from 1 species